UAAGUACUGGGCUUACAAAGAAUAAGUCCCGGGGUCGAUUUGCUCGACUAAAGGCGGUGCUCCAGCAUGGCCGCAGUCAAAUGACUGAAACAAGUAAAAGAGUAAAGAGUAUAGUCGUGUGAUGGAGACGUUCAUUCUGCAACUUGUUUCGGCUACUGUCGUCCCACUGCAGCGUAGCAAUAUUAAAAAUAACAGGUUAACUAAAAGCUUCAUAGUUCAACGUGGUAGAUGUCGUGCGUGUGUAAUUGAUCGCGACAGACUGUGAUCCUGUUCAACACCAAUGCCUGCGCCCCCGCGGCUUCUUUUCAGUAGAGUUUGCUAAGUAACGAGCAUUCAAAAUUCUUCUGCUUCCUGAGAUAAGGUCUUCCAAUAGGUUUCAAAGGGCGUAGAAAGGGACCACAAUCUCCCUAUUACUUAUUUGGUUUAGGAACUGUAAUUUCAAACAUUUUAACAGCUGAACAAUUUUUUGUGUGUGUGAGAAAAGUACUAUUAAUAUUUAAGCAUUUAUUACCCAUAAGGAUAUUCUUAUUAAUGUUAGCUAUAUUAUUACGGUUUUUGUUCCUGUUACGUUCUGGGUUCAAAUCUCACUGAGAUCAACUUUAUUUUAUCGACGCCAAAAGAAUGAAAAGCAAAGUACCAGUUCAUCACUGGGGUCCAUGUCGGCGUCUUUCUCCUCUACUUAAAACUGAUGCCUUUGAGCCGAGAUUUAAAAGAAUUAUUUUUACGGCAUAUCUGUUAGAUCGUCUUGGAGUAUUUACAUCGAUCCAUUGCAUUUCUUUGUUCAAAUCCUGAAGUUAGUUUGUCUUUCAUCCUUCCGGUGUUGAUAAAAUCCGGUAUAAGGUUCGAUUUAGUCAACUACUUCCCUUACAUUUCAGGUUUUCAGGUGAGCUGGUAGUCGUUACUGCGCCGGAAAAAAUGCUUUGCGGUAUUUGUUUCCAGUUCUUUCCGUUCUGGUAUCAAAUUCUGCUGAAUUCAAGUUUGCAAUUCAUCAUUCUACUAUCGAGAAAAUAAAGUAUCAAUCAGUUUUAGGGGCCAGUGUUAUGAAAUAACCAUAGCUUCUCGAAUUGCUGACCAUAUGCCUGUUGUAGAAAUCAUGUUAUGUAUUAGCAGAAUGGUGAGAGUGUCUGAAAAAAAA